rnacentral:sRNA from 1 species
GCAUGCUUCAUCAACUAAUACUUCACUACUUUCUAUUACACCCUUGCUAGUCUGAUUAUAUGACAUAUUUCAAUUAAAUUACUAGGAGUUUAACUUCUUAUAUUCAUACAACAUUCUUACAACUACUCACAAAUGUAGAGAUACAUUUGAAUUUUUCAUCUUUUUCAACAGUUUUUCAUAUAAUUUUAAUUCUUUAACUCAUUCAACAUCAUCAUACAUCAUCUGCAAUUACUCUAUAUAUGUGUACUGCACAGAUUGAGACACGCGCGACGGACAAAUCCUGCAAGUGGAAUCAAUAAUCAUAGAUGCACACAAAACGCAACGAGCAAAACCCCGAACGAGCCCAAUUCUUCGAAUUAGACAACGCGAGUACCCUCAAUCGAUUCCUGCUGCCUUAUGACGGGUUAGCAUCUGUUAGUAGUUAACUUACGCAACCAACUCCCCUCCUGCACCUACUCAUCCCUGUUAUUGCGCUCCGCGCUCGCGUACAUCCUUACAACUACCCAUGAACAUAGGGGUACAUUUGAAUUUUCCACUUUUCCAACUGUUUUUCAUAUAAUUUUAAUUCUUCAAUCUAUUCAAUAUCAUCAUACAUCCUCUGUGAGUACUCUAUGUAUGUGUACUGCACAGAUUGAAUAAUCAUGAAGCUCUCAACAUUCUUUCAUUCAUUCAAGAAUAUUGACACAGUCUAUAUCAGAUCACUGAAGCUGA